rnacentral:misc_RNA from 3 species
CAGACUCUCAUAUGCAGUUUUCUGUAUAUGAGUUUUGGACGCUGCCGGUUACGGCUCGUCUUAAAUGUCUAAGUGGAAUGCGUAAUAAGUUUUCGCUCCCUCCACUCUAAUAAACUUUUAG